UCGCAGCUAACGCAUUAAGCUCUCCGCCUGGGGAGUACGGCCGCAAGGUUAAAACUCAAAGAAAUUGACGGGGGCCCGCACAAGCGGCGGAGCAUGUGGUUUAAUUCGAAGCAACGCGAAGAACCUUACCCACGUUUGACAUGUCCAGUUUGGGCUGCAGAGAUGCGGUCCUUCAGUUCGGCUGGCUGGAACACAGGUGCUGCAUGGCUGUCGUCAGCUCGUGUCGUGAGAUGUUGGGUUAAGUCCCGCAACGAGCGCAACCCUCGCUACUAGUUGCCAUCAGGUUAAGCUGGGCACUCUAGUGGAACUGCCGGUGGCAAGCCGGAGGAAGGUGGGGAUGACGUGUCGCAACUAACCA
rnacentral:misc_RNA from 1 species